CAAAUCGGAAUCGCCCACCGUACAUUCGCAACUGAACAUUUUUCAUGGGGAAUGAGGUGUGAUGCCUCAACUGUCCCGCAACUGUGAUACGUGUCGCCUGCCGCCUAGAGGCGCCGCGUUAAGUCAGAUCGCCAUGGUGUUCACUCAUAACAC
rfam:Parcubacteria bacterium GW2011_GWA2_47_8 TY09_C0007, whole genome shotgun sequence.